UACAGAGGAGGCAAGCGUUGUUCGGAAUCACUGGGCUUAAAGCGCGUGUAGGCGGCUCGGUAAGUACUUUGUGAAAUCCCACGGCUCACCCGUGGAACGGCAAGGUAUACUGCCGGGCUUGAGGCAGGUAGGGGCCACUGGAACUCUAGGUGGAACGGUGAAAUGUGUAGAUAUCUAGAGGAACGCCCGCGGCGAAAGCGGGUGGCUGGGCCUGUCCUGACGCUGAGACGCGAAAGCGUGGGGAGCAAACGGG
rnacentral:rRNA from 1 species